rnacentral:rRNA from 1 species
AUCAUGGCUCAGAUUGAACGCUGGCGGCAUGCCUUACACAUGCAAGUCGAACGGUAGAGGGGGCAACCCCUUGAGAGUGGCGAACGGGUGAGUAAUAUAUCGGAACGUGCCCAGUCGUGGGGGAUAACGUAGCGAAAGUUACGCUAAUACCGCAUACGAUCUAAGGAUGAAAGCGGGGGAUCGCAAGACCUCGCGCGAUUGGAGCGGCCGAUAUCAGAUUAGGUAGUUGGUGAGGUAAAGGCUCACCAAGCCAACGAUCUGUAGCUGGUCUGAGAGGACGACCAGCCACACUGGAACUGAGACACGGUCCAGACUCCUACGGGAGGCAGCAGUGGGGAAUUUUGGACAAUGGACGCAAGUCUGAUCCAGCCAUUCCGCGUGCAGGAUGAAGGCCCUCGGGUUGUAAACUGCUUUUGUACGGAACGAAAAGGUUUCUAUUAAUACUAGGAGCUCAUGACGGUACCGUAAGAAUAAGCACCGGCUAACUACGUG